GCAUCUGUUUUGUAUUUCUUGGGGGCAUUUGUAUCGUAUUGCUUGGGGGCGUUUGUGACAAAUCCAACAAGACUCCACGCACAAGGAAUCAAGAAAAGGCCAUCAAUGCUGGUGUGCGAUGGCUCGAUUGUCCUUUUGCAAUCUCUGUCCUACAAUUUCUGUCGAUUGAGCCUUCAGGAGCUGCUCUGCAGAUAUUAUGAUAGGACAGGAAGACUCCACCAAUUCUGCAUCGCUGCUUGAGCCAUGUGAUGAAAAACGGAUAAGACCUUUGUCAAAAACAGUGACCUGGGACGCCACGGUACAGGUCCUGUGUAUGACAAACUUUCACGGAUGUUCAAAAGUAGCUGCAUGUAAACCCACAAACUGGCACAAAAGGACUAAAGGUGCAUUAGUCCAUCCUGGAUAUGACAAGGUAUCACAAGGAAUUAUGGAGAAAAGCCAGUGGGACCUGAAAAUGAUCCACUUUCAAUGGAGACAACUCACUAGACUCGACGACUUUGUCUACACCUACAAGACGACAGUGACAAUGACCCUUCGAAGAGACUACAGUGACUCUCUGAAGGGGAAGGAAAAGAAGAAGAACCCAACUGAGGAUGAUAAGGACGCACAGGUAGGCAUCAUUGAAAUCACAGUUGAUGCUACAUCACAGUACAUCAGUGCUGCACAAAGUACCGUUUAUUUGGUUGACCCAAUUCCCACAUCGGCAGAGCUCGCAGACUCCAAACAUGCAGCCCAAAAAAU
ensembl:lncRNA